rnacentral:rRNA from 1 species
CCUACGGGAGGCAGCAGUGGGGAAUAUUGGGCAAUGGGCGCAAGCCUGACCCAGCAACGCCGCGUGAAGGAAGAAGGCUUUCGGGUUGUAAACUUCUUUUAUGAGGGACGAACCAAGUAACGUUCCCUGUUGAUAAAGCAAGGCCUAACUACGUGCCAGAAGCCGCGGUAAUACGUAGGUGGCAAGCGUUAUCCGGAUUUACUGGGUGUAAAGGGCGUGUAGUCGGGAGUGCAAGUCAGAUGUGAAAACUAUAGGCUCAACCCAUGACCUGCAUUUGAAACUGUUCUUCUUGAGUGCUGGAGAGGCAAUCGGAAUGCCGUGUGUAGCGGUGAAAUGCGUAGAUAUAAGGAAGAACACCAGUGGCGAAGGCGGAUUACUGGACUGUAACUGACGGUGAGGCUCGAAAGCGUGGGGAGCAAACAGGAUUAGAUACCCUAGUAGUC